CCUACGGGUGGCAGCAGUGGGGAAUAUUGCACAAUGGGGGGAACCCUGAUGCAGCGACGCCGCGUGAGUGAAGAAGUAUUUCGGUAUGUAAAGCUCUAUCAGCAGGGAAGAAAAUGACGGUACCUGACUAAGAAGCCCCGGCUAACUACGUGCCAGCAGCCGCGGUAAUACGUAGGGGGCAAGCGUUAUCCGGAUUUACUGGGUGUAAAGGGAGCGCAGACGGCUGUGCAAGUCUGGAGUGAAAGGCGGGGGCCCAACCCCCGGACUGCUCUGGAAACUGUAAAGCUGGAGUGCAGGAGAGGUAAGCGGAAUUCCUAGUGUAGCGGUGAAAUGCGGAGAUAUUAGGAGGAACACCAGGGGCGAAGGCGGCUUACUGGACUGCAACUGACGUUGAGGCUCGAAAGCGUGGGGAGCAAACAGGAUUAGAUACCCCUGUAGUC
rnacentral:rRNA from 1 species